GAUAUGAUAAACCAAAUGAUGGUAUAGAAAAGGUUUCUAUCCUCAUGGCAAAUCACAGGUAAUUUCUUAAUCCUUAAAACUUUCUAAAUAUUGUGUGUGUGUUUAUUUGGAGAAGAGUACUAUAAGUUCCAUCAACUUCUCAAAAGGGCCCAGCUUUCUGCCCCUAAAAACAGUUUACACAAGUAACAAAAAUUUAAAGAGCCUCCAAAAGUAAAAUAUAAAAAAAUGACAAUAUAAUGUGGUCCCAGAAUUACUGGUACCUGUUUCAAUGGUAUGCUUCUACUGUGUCAUACCUGCUGUGUUUCCAUGGCAGAAAUUCCUAAAACUUUUAACCUUGGGGAUAAGUUAAUGACUAAUCUGAAGUGUUUUACUACAGUUCCAAAUUUUGAUCUAACUGUGCCUUGUUGCGAGUGAAGGGAUCCAUCAUUUGGGCUUGGGACUGUUAACACCCAAUCAUGACAUUGGGAUAAGGUUAAUACAUCCAGUCCUGCUGCUGAGUUACAGGACAGCAUACAAGUGUGUUGAUAUUGGGAGAACAGCCACUUAAUGAUAGAUUAGCAAGAGCACAUGACUUAGUUGCCAAGAAAACACAGUUUAAAACCUUGGAUCCUUACCUUGGAAGAGUAGGCAUUCAAAAUACAAACAUAUGCUAACUUAGUAAUGGGUAUUCUAUGCUCAUGAGAAGCACUUAAAAAAGCUGAUGAGUGUGGCCUGGGGUUGUGGCUCAGUGGUAGAGUGCUUGUCUAGCUGUAUGAGGCACUGGGUUCAACCCUCAGCACCACAUAAAAAGAAAUAAAGUAAAGAUAUUGUGUUCAUUUACAACUAAAAACAUUAAAAUAAAAAAGCAGAUGUGUGAAUAAGUGAAGUGGGGAUGGGAGUAAAGAAUGAGAUGAGGAAUAAGAUGGUCAGGACUGCUGGACUUGAGUCUGUCCCUUAUUGAGAGCAGCUCAGCUGCUGCCUUUGGGGAGUUGCUAUUUAGUGGGAGCUUGGGCAUCCAGCUUCAAUUACCUGACUAACUCAUCUUUGUAUUCCUUGUAGAAACAAAGUGUCUGGCAUAGAAUGGCAGUAAAUAAAUGCUUUUUUCAGGAAUGAAUGGUACACAUAACACACACAUACACACACACACACACACAGUGAAAUAUGUUGAACUCAAGUUAAAGAGAUGUAGAUAAUGUAGUGUGCCUUGCUACUUAACCAGUGUCACUAUGUGAAGUGAACUAGAGAUCUGUAUAUUGAAUUAGCUCUGGGCUGAUAAAUUCUUUGGGUUCUCCUACAGAGUAGUAAGGUAAAUAAAAUGCAUAGGCUUGUCCUUAAUAAUCGGUCUAGAGUAGAUAGGAUUCCAUAACAGACCAUUUAUUUAGCUACAUGUAACAGAAACCUGGCUGUUGGAGUUUAAAUACAAAGGGUUGCUAAGUGUCUUCUUAGAAGUCUGCAGUUAGUGGAACAGUGACUUCACUAGAUCAUCAGUAUCUCCUAUUUCUCCAUCUUGUUUUCAUGCUCAUCAACUUUUUGGCUGUUCUACUUUUAGCCUGUAUUGAAAGCAGGAAGGAGGGAAAGGAGACAGAAGAAAGGGUAAUACCUAGGUUAAGACAGCAAAAAAUUUCCCAGAUAUCCUUAGCAGACUUUUGACUACAUCUUACUGAUAGAAAACUCAUAACAUGAUGAUCCUUAGAUUCCAAGGAAUCUGGGAUAGUAUUUCAUGACAUUCACAACAAAAGCAGGAUCUACUACUCUGGAAGGAGAGAAUAGAUAGGAACCAGAGACAUCUUCCACAAGUAGUAUGAAAAGUGCUAUGCAUACAUUCAUUGACAAAAAAUAUUAUAUGCACUUUGUGCUAGGCAAUGUUCCAGGUACUGGGGAUAUAGUAGUGAAUCAGACAAACAAGGUUCCUACUUUAUUGGGGCUUAUACUCUGGUGAGAUGAACAAUAAAGCAGAUAAGAUCAUUUUAGUAUUAAAAAUUAUACAUACAUACAUUUAUACAUACACAUAUAUAUGUAUUCAUAUACAUAUUCAUUAAUACAUUUACCUGUACUAAAUCACUUCUCUCAACAAACUUAAGUACUAUAUUGACAAAAGAAUAUGAAAGCACAGAAAUGUUGAGCAACUCGCCAAUAGUCAUGCAACAAAGUAAUAGAAGUAGGCUUUGAACAAAGGCAGUUGUAGCCCAUUUACCUAACCACUGAGUUGUAUCACAUCACUGUGUGUUGAAUGUAGGAUGCUGUUUCAGUUACCUAUUGCUGUUUAGGCAACUGUCCCCAAACUGUGUGGCUUAAGGUUACAACCACCAUUACUUAUUUUACUAAUGAAACUAGGCAGGGUUUGGUAGGGUCAGCUUUUCUACUCCAAAAAUUGUAAACUGGGCUAUAUCACUAGGAACUAGAAGAUGCACUUUCAAGAUAGCCAACCUAUCUGUUUCCAUGUGGGUCUCUACAGGGAAGUCUGGGUUUCCUCACUGCAUGGUUCUAAGAGUGAGCUACCUAAGAGAAUCAGGAGGAAGAUGAAUUAUAUGACCUAACUUCAGAUUCAAGGAGAGGGAAUAAGACUUCACUUCUCAGUAGGGAGUAUCAACAUUACACUGGAAGAUGGGCUGUGAGAUAUUUUGGCCAGUUUGGGAAAAUACAAUCUAUCACAGAUACACUGGAAACAAAAGGAGGUACAUGCUAACCCAGCCUAGAGUUGGGAUAAAGAGUUGGUCUUUGCAGGGUUAUGUAUAGGGGAAAUGGGAUUUUGAGAAAUGAGCAUGGUCUUUCUUGAAAACCUAAGCUGGAAUGUUGGCCCUAAUCAUUCAUUUAUUCAUUAAAAUAACUCUCUGAUUUGUUAGGCAUGGUGCUGAACUUAGUAAGACACAAUUUCUGCCCUCACAGAGCUUACAGAUUGGUGGGAGAUUGAGACACUGGGGAGCGUCUUGUUAUCCUGUUUCCACUUUUACACAGUAGUCAAGGGGAAUUUUAAACUUCCCUUAUAAGGCUUCGUACUUCUCUUAAAUAGAAACUCUUACCAUGUUCCACAUGGACUGGCAUGAUUUGGCUUUCUAGGCUCUUUUUGGUCUCCUAUAUUGGCCUUUCCAUUUCUGAAAUUCCCCUAAGCUCUUUCAUGUCAGAGCAUUCUCACAUGCUCUUCCUCUGCAUGGAGCACUCCACCUUCCACUCUUCCUUUGGCCAACUCCUAUUAAAGUUGCUUAAUCAAAUGUCACUUUCCUAGAGAGUGUUCCUUGAUCCCUCAAAUAGUGUCACAUUUCUUGUCAUACCCUCUCAAGAGUGUUCUGAAACAUCUUAACUAUAAUUAAAACAUUUAGUAUAAUUGUUUAAUGUCCAUCUUCCUCCCUUGUUAGACUGUAAGCUCCAUGAGGACGGCUCUUACUUGCCACCAAAACCUAGCACCUGGCCCACUGCCCAUCCCAGAGCAGCUAUUCAGUAGCUCUCCAUAGAAUGAGCAAAUAUGUAAUAAAUACUAUAGAAGAGCCAAGUAUGAAAUGCCUCAGGGUACAUAGCAGGAGCACCUAAUCCCUUCAGGGGGAUAAGGGAAGGCUUUCUGGGGAGGUUUCUCAAGCUGAGAGCUAAAGGGCAUGGAGUUAGCCAAAUAAUGAAGAGGAGGGUAAGGGAGAGAGGUGGGGAGAGAGUGCUUCCUGCAGAGAAUAAAUAGCAUGUGGAAACAUUAGAGGUGAUAAUGUAAGCUCAAAAGAAGAAAAAUGCAGAAUGGUAAAGCUGAGAGGAGGGGGAUGUGGCCAGUUGUGGGGGUAAUGAGGAAUAUAAAAGCCAAACCAGGUCAUUUUUUUUAAAAUUGAUACAUAAUUCACAAACCAUAAAAUUCAUCCUUUUAAAGGAUACAACUGAAGUACUUCCCUAGCUUGCAUGAGAACUUGAGUUCCAUUUCCAGCACCACAAAAUAAAUACAUAAAUAAAUACUUAAAAAUAUUCAAUCAGGCUUAAGGAUUUUGUAGGGAGGACAUAAUCAGAUUUGCCUUUUAAAAAGGUGGCUUGAAGCCAGGCAUGGUGGCAUACACCUGGAAUUCUAGUAGCUCAGGAGGCAGAGGCAGGAGGAUCACAGGUUUGAAGCUAGCCUUAGCAAUUUAGUGAGAUCCUGUCUCGAAAAUAAAUAAAUAAAUAAAAUUUAAAAAGGGUUUGGGUUUUAGCUCAGUGGAUCAGUGCCCAUGAGUUGAACUGCCAGUACCACCUCCCCCCGCCAAAAAAAAAAAAAAAAAGUGACUUAACUACAUUGCCAAGAAGGGAUGGAAUGGAGAGGAAAAAGUAGAGACAGGGUGGCCUGAUGCCCUUUCAGUAGUCUGGGGACAAAUGAAGGCAACUGGAACUAGGUUAGUGGUAGUGGUCAGAGAAGAUGGACGAAAGUUACUGGGUAAUUUAUUGGGUAGAAGUCUGAGAGAGAGGGAAGACCCAAGAAUGACACCAGGUGUAUGGGCAGCUGAGAGGAUGGUGAGUCCAGUGAUAGAAAAGGAGAAUGCUGGAAGAUGAAAAAAUGAAAUUUUAGCUGGCUAUAUCCUUAUAUUCUGGGACAUGAAAGUACACAUGUCCAAACCCUGGGACUGGAAAGCUCUGGGUCAGAGUUACAGGUAUGGGAAUUGUUAGCAGAUAGUUAUAAUAGCCAAAGACAGGACGAGAUCAUCUCAAGAAUGCAGUCUGGGUCAGGUGCCAUAGUGCACGCCUGUAAUUCUAGUGAUUCAGGAGGCUGAGGCAGGAGGAUCGAAAGUUUAAGAUCAGUCUCAGCAACUUAGCAAGGGCCUAAGUACUAAGCAAGAUCCUAUAUCAAAAACAAAAGGGCUGGGGUUGUGGCCCAGUGGUUAAGUGAUCCUGGGUUCAAUAUCUUGUUACGGGGGAAAAAAAAAAGUGAAUUCUGAUCUAAGCAGAGGACCUAGGAGAAACAAUAUCUAAGGGAGGGGAGGAGGAAAAGGGGACUCACAGGGAAGAGCUGGAGAGUGACAGGGAAACUGGAAAAGGAUGCCAUGCAAAUUAAAGGGAGAAUACUUGAGAGGACGGAAAGUGUGAAAUACUGCACAGAGGCUAAAUAGUAAUAUGAUGACGGGAGUAUCUGGAUUUAGCAAAUAGCAGAUCAUUGGUGGUUUUGUUAGGCUAUACACAUGGGAUAUGAGAAUCUAAAAACCCAACUGCAGAAGAGAGUUUUGUAACAUGUACAGAAUACCAACCUUUCAUUAGAUUCCAUUUCUUCAAUCAUAAAAUAGGGAUGAUAGAAGGUAACAGUAAGGACAAUAGACAUAACCCUGGACAUGUUCACCCUAAAUGAAAGUUUCUUAUAAUGUUGUUGAAAAGAUUAAAUGAGAUAAAGUAUGGUAAAAUUCCUAGCACUAUAAACAUCCUUGGAAAAGACACUACCACUAACCAGUUUUAGUUUUCUUUCCCAUUCCUUGUGUUAAUCACUAUUUAGUAACAAAUACUUCCCUUGGAAAUUCCUGAGAUUUGGUAACAUUCAGCAUUCAGGUCCAUCUGUCAUAAUCAAAAAAUUAGUAGACCAUAUUUGUGACUAAGAUUUCAGUUAGAAUUUCUGUGAGAAAAUUUGAGUCAAGUAAAAUGCAGUUUUAUGUCAUACCAACUGAGGGAAAGCAAGGAAACAGGGCUAACUAUAAGAAACAAGAGUAACUAAAGUCAGCCUCUUUGCUCCUUCAGUUUAAGGUGCUAUAUAAUCCAGGUUGUGAGUCCUCUCAAUUUGCAGUUAUCUUAAGUGAAUCAUUCUGAAGUGAGAAAUGGCUAAAUGGUAAAUUUGAUUGUUUAGAAUAAUAGCUACCAAUUAUCGAGUGCCUUAUUAUACCUAGUGCCUUAUGUAAGUUAGCUCAUUUAAUUCUUGCUACAACCUUGUGAGGAUGGCUGGUUUACAGAUGAGGAUACUGACACCUAAGGGAUAAACAACUUUCCCAGGGUGAAAGUUAGUAAGUAUAGAGCUUGGUUAUCUCUCUGACUGUAUAGCUCCAACUCUUCCUCUUAUGGACAGAUUAGGUAGCUUCAUUAUUGGCUCUGGAACAUAUUUCAGAAGUUAAAUAGUUUGGGGACAUAGAAUCUUUUAAAAAAAAUUAGUUGGUUUUAACUUGGGAAUUAUAUCAAAUUUAGUCUGAAAUUAAUAUAAUUCCUUACACAGAAAGUUAGAUAGUAGCAAAGGGCCAAGAGCAAAUGGAGGGGCAAGAGGAUGACAGCUGAGGUUAGCACUAUAACACAUCUAUAAUCUGAAGAGUAAUCAGUGGGAAAAGUGUCAGGGCAAUAUUACUGGGACUACUAUGGCUUGACAAUAGAUGGAAAGAGCAAGACAUUUCAAACUGGCCAGCUAUUGGGAAACCUAGGCUAUCCUUAUCCCAAAUGCUUGAAACAAACAUUUGAGAUACUGAAUUUUUUCAGGUUUUGGAAUACUUGAAUAUACUAGUGAAACAUUGUGGGUAUGGGAUCCAAUUCUAAACAUGAAAUUCAUUUAUGUUUCAUAUAUACAUUAUACACAUAGCCAGAAGGUAAUUUGAUAAAAUAUUUUUAAUGUGCCUGCAUUUUGACUGUGACCCGUCAUAAGAGGAACCUUUCACUGUGGACACUAUGUUGGUGCUCUUGGAUCUUGAAGCAUUUCAGAUUUUGGAUUAGGGAUGUGAACUCAACCUACAUCAAGAAGUUGUUAAAAGGCAAUGUUAAGCAGCAUGCUUAUAAUUACAGUGACUUGUGAGGCUACAGCAGGAGAACCAGAACUUAGACAGACCCCAUCUCAGAAUAAAAAAUAAAAAAAGGUUGGGUGUGUAGCUCAGUGGUAGAGCAUCCUGGGUUUAAUCCCUGCUAUCAAAAACAAACAAACAAAAAACCCAUCACAUAUCAAGCUAAGGACUUCGAGAAACAAAUACAUUAUACCCCCUUAAAGCCAACUUCUAUCUCAAUUCCUGUGAUUUUAACAAUAGCAUUUCAAUCCUUGAGUUAUCAUAUCAUCUGCAUUUUCACCUUUUCUUCAGGUUUACUCUGGUCCAUGAAUUUGGGUAUAUAAAUGCCUGUUUUACCUCUUAGUAGCUCUGGUCUUAGAUAAGAUGUUUAAUCUCCUUUUUUUUUCUGAGGAUGGGGAAGAGGCCACUGGAAAUUAAACCCAGGGGCACUUUACCACUUUACAAUGAGCUACAUCCCCAGCCCUCUUUAGUUUUGAGACAGAGUCUCUCUAAAUUGCCCAAACUGGUCUAGAAUUUGUGAUAAUCCUGCCUUCACAUCCUGAGUAGCUGGGAUUACAGAUGUGUACCACUGAAUCCAGUUUAUUUAAUCUUCUUUUACCUCUGCUUCCUCAUCUGCAAAAUGGAGAUUGAUAAUUUCUAUUUUAUAAGGUUAUUGGAAGGAAUAAGUGAGUUAGUACAUAUUAAGUACUUACUUAGGGUAUUUCACUUACAAAGUAAAACUUCAUAAAAAUCAGCAAUCAUACCUGGGUGUGGUGGCACAUGCCUAUAAUCCCAUCAGCUCAGGAGGCCGAGGCAGGAGGAUCACAAGUUCAAAGGCAGCCUCAGCAAUUUAGCAAGGCCCUAAGCAACUCAGGGAGCCCCUGUUUCUAAUUAAAAUACAAAAAAGGGCUGGGGAUGUGGCUCCGUGGUUGAGUGCCCCUGGGUUCAAUCCCCAGUACCUAUCCCCCAAAUAGCAAUCAUCAUCCAUUUUUUACACAUAAAUUAUUUACUUUAUAUUUUGAUUUAUCUGAUGUCUUUAUUUCAACAAGAAAACAAACACUAAAGCUAGUGUGGUGGCACAGACAGGAAGUAGAUUUCUGGUGGGUCAGUUUUGCAAUGUUCUGUUCACUCUGGAAGCCCAGACUACAGUGCUUCUCUGGCCUAUCCAACAAUUUUGUAAGUUAACUUCCUGCAUAAAAUCCCUUUUUGCUUAAAGGAACUAAAAUUGCUUCUGUUACCUCCAAGUUCUCUAAAGCACACACUAUUUACUGAAUGAGCAGUUUGUCAUAAAUAGUAUAAAUAUUUUCCUGGUUUUUCUUUUAACCUUGUUUGUGAUGUUUUGUAUAGAGUAAAAUUAUUUAUUUAUUUAUUUGUACUGGGGAUUGAACUAGGGCACUCAACCACUAAGCCACAUCCACAGCCCUAUUUUAUAUUCUAUUUAGAGACAGGAUCUCAUUGAGUUGCUUAGCACCUCACCAUUGCUGAGGCUGGCUUUGAACUCAUGAUCCUCCUGCCUCAGCCUCCCUAGCCGCUGAUAUUACAGGUAUGUAUCACCACACCCAGCUAAUUUUAUUGAGUAAAUCUGUAAGUAUUUUACUUUAUGGCUGUUACUCAUGUAGCUUAAGACUUAAAUUUUUUUUUUUUUUCGUUGUUGAUGGACCUUUAUUUUAUUUGCUUAUUUAGAUGUGGUGCUGGGAAUCGAACUCGUGCCUCACACAUACAAGGCAAGCACUCUACUCCAGAGCUACAACUCCAGCCCCAAGUUUAAGACAUUUUUACCUCCAGGAAAAUAUUUUCUUAUGUCACAUUCUAGUUCUUUUAAAUUUUUGUUUUUAAUAUAGCUGUUUAAUCAGAAGAGAACUCCUUCAAAAUACUGAUGUUAAACCUACAUAUUUAACAAUAUGCAUGUUUGUCCUUUCCUUCUUCCCUUCUGACCUGUCUGAAGUUAAUCCCUUCACUUGUGCUCUUGCUCUCAUUCUUUCCUCCUAUUUCCUGGAAGUAGAUAAGACUUCCUAAUUUGAGUGUAAGGAAGAGAUCAUUUCUCAGCCUGUUAUAGUUUAGAUAUUAGGUAUCCCCCAAAAGCUCAUGUGUGAAACAAUGCAAGAAAGUUCAGAGUUGAAAUUAUUGGGUUAUGAGAACAUUAUCUAAUCAGUAUAUUGAUCCCCUGAUAGGGAUUAAUUGGGUGGUAACUAUAGGCAGGGUGGAGGAGAUGGGUCUUUGGGAGGGUGCCUUUGAAUAUAUAUUUGCCCCUGGAGAGUGGAACUCUCUCUGUGCUUCUUGGGGGUCUUGUUCAGAUAUGCUUUCCUCUGUUACAAUCUUCUACCUUGAUGUUCUAAGUCAUCUUGGGCCCAGAGCAAUGGAGUUGGCUAUCAUGGAGUGAGACUCUGAAACUGUGAGCCCCCUAAAUAAACUUUUCUUCAAGUCUUUUGGUCACAGCAGUGAAAAAAAGCUGACUAAAACAUAGCCUUUUGACUAAGAUCAAAUGAGUAUAAGGAAGAAGCCUGAGGAAUUUGAAUAAGUCACUGUGGAGAACUGACUCAAAAAGGAAAAUGAUUUGGAAUAAGGUUUUCUGAGCAGGGAUACUAGUCCGAAUGGUUAUGGUAUUUUCUUCCACAGCACUUUGAAGUGCACCAAGGCAAGGGGUUUCCAAGAAAGAAAAUGAGAAAUGGGCACCAGCACUGGCAGGAGAGUUGUUGAAAUGAAAGACCAUGGAAUUUAAACUGGACAAGAGCGCUUGCCUAGCACGUUGUGAGGCCCUGGGUUCGAUCCUCAGUACCAUAUAAAAAUAAAUAAGUAAAAUAAAGGUAUUGUGUCCAACUACAACAAAAAAAUAAAUACUUUAAAAAAUAAACUGGUCAGGAAAGGAGGUGAAGACAGAAUGGAGGAGAAAUAAUUAGGAGAAAAUUAAGAGUUAGGUAGAUAGAAUGUCUCAUGGGGGUCCAGGAAUAGUAAGAUAUAAGUAAACGAGAGAGCUAGAAAAAUACAAAGUUGUAGCCAAAACGGAGGCUUGAAUUUAAUAUUACAAAAGAGGUAGGUACAAAGGCUGGGGAUGCAAAAGUAGGAUGGAGAAUAAGGUCUCUGGAAAUCAGGGUUUCGAGGAACUGAGAGGGUGAUAAAAGGAUCUUUCAUAUGGAUCCUAAGGUGACCCAUGAUGAUGGCAGAACUAAGCCAGUAUCUUCCGUGAAUGAGAGGAAUGGUCAGGAGGUUAAGUGGUUGACAGUGUAGGAGAGAGAUUAAGGAAUAUACAGCUAGACUGCAGGAGCCUUCAAGGAAUAUAAGCUUUUUAUACAAGAUGGGGGAAUGUGGAAAUAACCCUGGAGAUAAAGAAUUAGAUUCACUCAGGUAUGUGAUGUGAUGAUUCCAGGUCUAUUUUAUAUAUUACUUUAAAAUAUCUAUUUGGGACUACCAAACUUCGUGACCACUGUCUCCUAUUCAUACUCUCUUCCUUCUUCUGGUGUGUGUGUAUAUAUGUAUGUAUGUAUGUGUGUGUGUGUGUGAUAUAUUUUAUAUAUAUAUAUAUAUAUAUUUGGAUUAUUUAUUUAUCCAGCCAGCCAGUAUUGGGGAUUGAAGUCAGGGCCUUGUGCAUGCUAGGUAAGUGCUCUACCACUGAGCUAAAAAAAAACCCCAACCCCUUUUUGUUUUUAAAUUUUGAGUCAGGGUUUCGCUAAAUUGCCCAUGCUGAUGCAAAUUUGGGAUCCUCAUGCCUGAGCCGCUCCAGUUGCUAGGAUUACAGGUGUGUACCACUGUGCCAGACUAUAUUUGGUAACUUUGUUUUUCUCCCUGUGGUACUUGGGAUUGAAUCCAGAGGUGCUUUACCAUUGAGCUACAACCCCAGUCUUUUUUAUUUUUUUAUUUUGAGAUAGUAUCUCACUAAGUUGCUGGGCCACUGAGUCCUGGAACUUAAGAUUUUCCUGCCUCAGUCUCCCAAGUAGCUGGGAUUAUAGGCAUGUGUCACUAUACUUGGCCAAUAUUUAAAUUUUUGAGGAACAGUCAGUUUGUAUUGUUCUUGACUUCCACGUAGCAUCUGGCAGCAAGUAUCCUGUCUUUCUUUUGGAAGCUGUGUUUCUAUUCUUCCAUAGUAACAAUAUCUGGUACAUCUCAAUUUGUUUUUCUUUGGUUUGUUUCUCUUCUCCUCCUUGCCUCCGUCUUUCAAAGUUCCCCCAAGGUUCUGGCCUCUACUCUUCACUUUAUAUUCCAACAUUCUUACUCUACUAUAAUUUUCUAUUAUGAAAUUACCACUCCAGUCAGAUGACUUCCAAUGCCACCUGCUAAAUGCUUUCUUAUUCAACCUAGACUGCCCUUGCUUUUCCUGUCUGCUAUAUAGAUCCUAGUUAUCUUUUGGGGCCAAUUUCAAACACAAACACAAUUACAUAUGAAAGUUCUUCACUGACUCCCUCUACUCUCCACCCCACCACCCCCAUGCAAGAUUUCUUCUCCAAACACUUAGAUUUUACAGCCCAUAGCAAUAAUCAAAAUCACAUAUUCAUAUUUAGCUUUUUUUGUGUUUAUGUCUGAUCUCCUCCCUCUACCUAGCCAAUCUCUUGGUCACUUAAAAAGUUGCUUGACAACAUUUUCAAGUUGCUUGAAAAGAUAAAAAAAUAAAUUUACCUUCCCAAUAGCAACUACUAUAGUUUCUUGUAUAUUCUUCUAAGUACACCCUGUGGAUAUUCACAUAUUUUUUCUUUCACAAAUGGCAUCAUGUUUAUAAAUAUAUAUAUAUUUUUCUAUAUCUUUCCUUUUCCUCCUCAUACUUUAAUUAGUCUUUAAAGUGGAACUUCUCUAAUGUUUUCAAAAGCAUAUCAGUAUAUCCACUGAUUAUACUUUGCUUACAUGUUUUUCUCUUCAAAGGACCAGAGAUUAAUAAGGAGUGAUUUCUUUAGAGAAAUCAGACUACUUUUUAUCUCAUUUAGCUCCAUUUGCUAAUGUGAUCAAUUAAAUGUGUUUACACAAAUUAAACUUUCUCAUUGUAAAAAUUCAGAAUUAACAAAUUAAAAAUCUUUGAUAUGUGUACCUUCAGAAUUUUAAAAGGCAAUUUUAUAAAUAAAAAUAUAUCUCUAGAAAUAUUUAAAAUUGUUUUUAAUUUUUUUAAAACACAAAUAAAUUAACAAGUAUCAUAAUGUAAAUACUGUUUUGUAGCCUGUUUUUUUCCAUGCAACUGUAUAUUGAAGAAUCUGACCCUAUUUAUAUAUACAGAUGUAACUCACUUUUCAUGAUUGUUGUGUAGUUUGCUUAGCUAUUCCUUACUAUUGGAGAUUUUAGGGUGUUCAGAAGUUUUUGCUACACACUGUUAUAAUGAACAUCUUUGCACAUGUCAUUUUAUGUACAAGUGUGAUGAGAAACAUCUACUAUUUCCCAAAAGUAGGUGCUAAGGAGGAUGUGGUAGCAUAUAUCUAUAAUCCCAGCAACUUGGGAAGCUGAGGCAGGAGGCCCACCCUGGGCAACUUUGUGAGACUCUGUCUCAAAAUUCUAAAAGAGCUAGGGAUAUAGCUCAGUGGCAGAACAUUUACCUGGCAUGUGCUAGGUCCUGGGUGCAAUCCCCAGAACCUCAAAAAGAGAAGAGAAUAGAUGGUAAGAAGUCGAAUUGUGGGCUGGAGCUGGAGCUCAGUGGCAGAGCGCUUGCCUGGCAUGUGUGAGGCAUUGAGUUUGAUCCUCAGCACCACAUAAAAAUAAAUAAAGGGCUAUCCAUCUACAACUACCAAAAAAAAAAAAAAGACGACGAAGAAGAAGUAGUAGUAGUAAUAGUAGUAGUAGUAGUAGUAGUAGUAGUUGUGGAAUCCUGUGUCAAAAAAAAGUUUGUAAGUAUAAACUGUACAUGGUGGUGCAUACCUCUAAUCCCAGCUCUGUGGGAGUCUAAGGCAGGAGGAUCCCAAAUUUGUGGACAACCUCAGCACCUUAGUCAGACCCUGCCUCAAAAUGAAAAAAAUUUUAAAAGAUUUGUGGGUGUAGCUUAGUGGUAGAGUACUCCUGUAUUCAAUCCCACUACUGAAAAAAAAAAAAAGUAUAAUAAAUACAAUUAAAUUGACCUUUGCCAAUUCUGUGGUAUAACUGUUAUAAGUUAAUAAUAGUAAUACAAUGUGACCUUCAAUUUUGGUUUCCUUUAAAACCAUAGGACAUCCUAUUGACUCAGAAGUCAUAUAGUAUAUAAUACAAAGUACACUAGAAUAGCAAUUGAUAGAUUCAAGUCCUGGUUCUGUCCUUAACUAAUAAUAAUUGAUCUUAGGCAAUCCUAUCAAUAUCUAAGCUCCAGUUUCUGAACCUAAAAAUGUGGUAUGGGUACCAUUAGUAGCAUGGAAGACACUUUAAUUUUUUUUUUUAGUUGUCCAUGGACCUUUAUUUUAUUUAUUUAUAUGUGGUGCUGAGAAUCAAACCCAGUGCCUCACACAUGUAAGGCAAGUGCUUUACCACAGAGCUACAACCCCAGCCCCACUUUAAUUUUUAUUGAUUUUAUUUUAAUAAUUAGUUGUAAUUUAAAAUAAAUCAGGAAGCUAUAAUUACCAAAUCUAAUCAAAGAUUUAUGGAUAUUAUUUCCAUUAAUAUAAAAUUUACUUUUUUUUUUAAUUGUAGAUAGAUACAUAAUAUUUAUUUAUUUUUAUGUGGUGCUGAGGAUCAAACCCAGUGCCUCACACAUGCCUGGCAAGUGCUUUACCAGUGAGCUACAGCCCCAGCCCUAAAAUUUACUUUUAAAAAAUUUAUUUAAGUUAAAGAAAAGUUCAUCAGCUGGGUUGGUAUUGUGAUGCAGGCUUGUAAUCUUCACCUUGGGAGGCUGAGGCAGGAGGAUCACAAGUUCAAAGCCGGCCUUAGCAAAUUAGUGAGCCCGAAGCAACUCAGGGAGACCUUAUCUCUAAAUAAAAUAUAAAAAAGGGCCGAGGAAUGUGGCUCAGUGGUUGAGUGCUCAACAUGGGGUUCCUGACUUUUCACUAUGUUAAGGACAUUAAGAACCACAAAACCCUGACACACAUACUCAUCAUCAUUACUUCAUAAAAAGAUAUUUUAAAUGUUUUAUAAUUAUAAAACAUGUAAAUAUAGUCUGAAAAAAUUUUAAAAUUGUAUAGGAAAUAUUAAAAAGUCAUUUUCAGCCAGGUAUGGUGGCACAGCUACUCAAGAGACUGAGGGAGGAGGAUCACAAGUUGCAGGCCAGAUCCUGUCUCAAAAUAAAAGAACUGGUGAUGUACCUCAAUGGUAGAAUGCCCCUGGGUUCAAACCCCUCUACUGCAAUAAGUAAAUAAACAAAAACUUUAAAGCCAUUCUCUUGCUCUCUCUCUAAAAUCCACUCAUGGACCUUCUUCCAUACAGAUCUAUCUUACUUUUACAAAGGACAUUUUUAGCAUUAUAAAAGUUUGGGUGCAUAUGUAAUUGUUAAUUUAUAAAUAUGUGUGUACAUUUAUAUAAUACUUAUGAUAUGUAGAAUAUGUAACAUAAAAAUAUAUGUACAUAUAUUUAUUAUAUGCUAAAUGUAGUAUGCUACAUAUUUAUCCUACAUGAAAAUAUAUAGAAGAAAUAAAAAAAUUCAGAAUAAAGGAUAGGCUUUUUGGGAAAGGACAAGUGGCAACCAAUGAUUUAGAUGACUCCCCGUUGCUAUAAUUCCAUGAUUGAGUCUAAAAUAUCCUGAGAAUUUACAUGCCUUUCAUUAUUAUCAGUAACAUAUUUGGAAAAUCAUAGAUUACAGUGUUUUUAAUACUUCAAUCUACAUGUUGUAUGAGCACAAUUCUGUGCAUUUUUACUUAUUAGUUUCCUAUAUCAAUUUUAACCUGAGGUCACAGACUUCAGGGUAUUCAUAACAUCAUGAACAUAUAUAUGAUAUUACAUAUAUAUAUAUAUAUAUAUAUAUGUAUGUGUAUAUAUAUAUAUAUGUAUGUG
rnacentral:lncRNA from 1 species